UACAGAGGGUGCAAGCGUUGUCCGGAAUCAUUGGGCGUAAAGAGCGUGUAGGCGGUCCGGUAAGUCCGCUGUGAAAGUCGGGGGCUCAACCCUCGAAUGCCGGUGGAUACUGUCGGGCUAGAGUGCGGAAGAGGCGAGUGGAAUUCCUGGUGUAGCGGUGAAAUGCGCAGAUAUCAGGAGGAACACCGAUGGCGAAGGCAGGUCUCUGGGCAUUAACUGACGCUGAGGAGCGAAAGCAUGGGGAGCGAACAGG
rnacentral:rRNA from 1 species